GGAGGAAAGUAGGGGAUCGAAAGACCUUGCGCUAAAGGAGCGGCCGAUGUCUGAUUAGCUAGUUGGUGGGGUAAAGGCUUACCAAGGCAACGAUCAGUAGUUGGUCUGAGAGGACGACCAACCACACUGGGACUGAGACACGGCCCAGACUCUACGGGAGGCAGCAGUGGGGAAUUUUGGACAAUGGGCGAAAGCCUGAUCCAGCCAUGCCGCGUGAGUGAAGAAGGCUUCGGGUUGUAAAGCUCUUUUAGUCGGAAAGAAAGAAUUAUGACGAAUAAUCAUGAUUUAUGACGGUACCGACAGAAAAAGCACCGGCUAACUACGUGCCAGCAGCCGCGGUAAUACGUAGGGUGCGAGCGUUAAUCGGAAUUACUGGGCGUAAAGGGUGCGCAGGCGGUUUUGUAAGUCAGAUGUGAAAGCCCCGGGCUUAACCUGGGAAUUGCGUUUGAAACUGCAAGGCUAGAGUGCAGCAGAGGGGAGUGGAAUUCCAUGUGUAGCAGUGAAAUGCGUAGAGAUGUGGAAGAACACCGAUGGCGAAGGCAGCUCCCUGGGUUGGC
rnacentral:rRNA from 1 species